rnacentral:rRNA from 1 species
UGCAGUCGAGCGAGAUCUUCGGAUCUAGCGGCGGACGGGUUAGUAACGCGUGGGAACGUACCCAAAGGUAGGGAAUAGCCACUGGAAACGGUGAGUAAUACCCUAUGUGCCCUUCGGGGGAAAGAUUUAUCGCCUUUGGAUCGGCCCGCGUUAGAUUAGAUAGUUGGUGGGGUAACGGCCUACCAAGUCUACGAUCUAUAGCUGGUUUUAGAGAAUGAUCAGCAACACUGGGACUGAGACACGGCCCAGACUCCUACGGGAGGCAGCAGUGGGGAAUCUUGGACAAUGGGGGCAACCCUGAUCCAGCCAUGCCGCGUGAGUGAUGAAGGCCUUAGGGUCGUAAAGCUCUUUCGCCUGUGAAGAUAAUGACUGUAGCAGGUAAAGAAACCCCGGCUAACUCCGUGCCAGCAGCCGCGGUAAUACGGAGGGGGUUAGCGUUGUUCGGAAUUACUGGGCGUAAAGCGCGCGUAGGCGGACUGGAAAGUUGGGGGUGAAAUCCCAGGGCUCAACCCUGGAACUGCCUCCAAAACUAUCAGUCUAGAGUUCGAGAGAGGUGAGUGGAAUUCCGAGUGUAGAGGUGAAAUUCGUAGAUAUUCGGAGGAACACCAGUGGCGAAGGCGGCUCACUG